AACGAACGCUGGCGGCAUGCCUAACACAUGCAAGUCGAACGAGACCUUCCGGCCUAGUGGCGCACGGCUGCGUAACGCCUGGGAACCUGCCCUUAGGUUAGGUACCACUCCCCGUAAGGUGUGCUCAUACCACAUAAUGUCUUCGGACCAAAGAUUUAUCGCCUCUGGAUGGGCGCGCGUUGGUUUGGCCAGUUGGUAGGGUAAAAGCCUACCAAGGCGACGUUCCAUAGCUGGGCGGGGACGAUGCUCAGCCCCACUGGCGCUGAGACACGGCCCAGUCUGGUACGGGAGGGAGCAGUGGGGAAUAUUGGACGAGGGGCGAAAGCGUGGUCCAGCAGUGCCGGGGGAGUGAGGAAGGCCGUAGGGUUGUGAUGCUCUUUUAGCCGGGAUGAUAGUGACGGUACCGGGAGAAGAAGCUCCGGCUAACUCCGUG
rnacentral:rRNA from 1 species